UACGAAGGGGGCUAGCGUUGCUCGGAAUCACUGGGCGUAAAGGGUGCGUAGGCGGGUCUUUAAGUCAGGGGUGAAAUCCUGGAGCUCAACUCCAGAACUGCCUUUGAUACUGGGGAUCUCGAGUCCGGGAGAGGUGAGUGGAACUCCGAGUGUAGAGGUGAAAUUCGUAGAUAUUCGCAAGAACACCAGUGGCGAAGGCGGCUCACUGGCCCGGUACUGACGCUGAGGUGCGAAAGCGUGGGGAGCAAACAGG
rnacentral:rRNA from 1 species